UACGUAGGGUGCAAGCGUUGUCCGGAAUUAUUGGGCGUAAAGAGCUCGUAGGCGGUCUGUCGCGUCUGCUGUGAAAACCUAGGGCUUAACUCUGGGCGUGCAGUGGGUACGGGCAGGCUAGAGUGCGGUAGGGGAGACUGGAAUUCCUGGUGUAGCGGUGAAAUGCGCAGAUAUCAGGAGGAACACCGGUGGCGAAGGCGGGUCUCUGGGCAAUAACUGACGCUGAGGAGCGAAAGCGUGGGGAGCGAACAGG
rnacentral:rRNA from 1 species